rnacentral:rRNA from 1 species
UACGUAGGGGGCAAGCGUUGUCCGGAAUCAUUGGGCGUAAAGAGCGUGUAGGCGGUCCGGUCAGUCGGUUGUGAAAGUCAAGGGCUCAACCCUUGAAUGCCGGCCGAUACUGCCGGGCUAGAGUCCGGAAGAGGUGAGUGGAAUUCCUGGUGUAGCGGUGAAAUGCGCAGAUAUCAGGAGGAACACCGAUUGCGAAGGCAGCUCGCUGGAACGUUACUGACGCUGAGGAGCGAAAGCGUGGGGAGCGAACAGG